CCUUCUACUUGUUGGUAGGAGUUCAUUUGCAAUAAGAGAAAUUGGGGACAUGAAUAAAGCAGGUACACGUAAAUUAUAGAACUGGAUUUUGAUUCUCUCCAUUUCACAACUAAUGGCAUGAGAAAUGGACACCAAAACUCUUAAUUUCAAACAGAAAACUAUUCCGUAAAGUUAGCAACUACGUAGACGUCUCUAAAGUCACUUGUUUCGGCUUUAAGACCCUUGGUUGCACAAAAAAGUUAUUUUCCCAUUGGUAUUUUGAUGUUAAGUUGCAGCACUUUGUGUCGAAAGAGAGAUAAGAAUUCUGUUUAUGAAAUGGAGAGAAGGUCUAAAUCCAUACAGUCACCAGAAAAGGAUUGUUC